rnacentral:misc_RNA from 1 species
UCCGGUUUAGACCGGCGGUCUCCCUAGACAUGAUAACUAAGGACAAGGGUUGCGCUCGUUGCGGGACUUAACCCAACACCUCACGGCACGAGCUGACGACAGCCAUGCAGCAUCUGUGCACGCUCCCUUGCGGGUCCCUUCUCUUACAAGUUGGUACCACGUGCAUGUCAAGCCGAGGUAAGGUUCUGCGCGUUGCAUCGAAUUAAACCACAUGCUCCACUGCUUGUGCGGGCCCCCGUCAAUUCUUUUGAGUUUCACUCUUGCGAGCGUACUCCCCAGGCGGCAUACUUAUCGCGUUAGCUUCGACACAGACAGGGUUGAGCCCAUCUACAUCAAGUAUGCAUCGUUUACGGCAAGGACUAC